GGUAGGUUGGUGUAAUCGGUUAGCACACAUAUUACGAAUAUAAGAGGUGUGGGUUCGAUUCCCAUGCGUUCUA
rnacentral:tRNA from 1 species